rnacentral:rRNA from 1 species
UGUUCCUACGGGGGGCAGCAGUGGGGGAUAUUGCACAAUGGGGGGAACCCUGAUGCAGCGACGCCGCGUGGGUGAAGAAGCGCCUCGGCGCGUAAAGCCCUGUCAGCAGGGAAGAAAAUGACGGUACCUUCAAAGGAAGCACCGGCUAACUCCGUGCCAGCAGCCGCGGUAAUACGGAGGGUGCGAGCGUUAAUCGGAAUUACUGGGCGUAAAGCGCACGUAGGCUGUUGUGUAAGUCAGGGGUGACAUCCCACGGCUCAACCGUGGAACUGCCCUUGCUACUGCAUGACU